UACGUAGGGUGCGAGCGUUUGUCCGGAUUUAUUGGGCGUAAAGGGCUCGUAGGCGGCCUGUCGCGUCGGGAGUGAAAGCCCACUGCUUAACGGUGGGUCUGCUUCCGGUACGGGCGGGCUGGAGUAUGGCAGGGGAGACUGGAAUUCCUGGUGUAGCGGUGGAAUGCGCAGAUAUCAGGAAGAACACCCGUGGCUAAGGCGGUUCUCUAGUACGGUACUGACGCUGAGACGCGAAAGCGUGGGGAGCAAACAGG
rnacentral:rRNA from 1 species